rnacentral:misc_RNA from 1 species
UUGUAGCAAUAGUAGGCUAAAACUAAAAGUCUGGGGAAAAUGUUUUUUAAGAUUUCUACAGCACAUACAAAGAAUUUCUAAUAAUGCACAUGCAGCUUAUACCGUGGACACAAUUUGCGUAUUUAUGUGCACAUCCAUGAGCAUGUAUACUUCCUCUGGCCUGAUAUUCAAACCUAUACCAAAACCAUUCAGCAUCCAAGACACCUUGAAGCCAAUGUUUGAUGAACUUCUGUAGCCUUUGCAUGAAAAACCAAUCUGUCAGGUGUGGAUUGUCUAUCACUGCUUGUGCUCUUUCUGUUCUUGAUGCCCCCUCGUUACUUUGCAAUAGUCUUUGCAAGUCUGGCCAAUGGCUGUCAGCUGCACUAAAGGUAAAGAAAAAGAAUAAUGCGCAGAACGGACUUUACAUCAUCUUUACGUGGCCGUUGUUGAAGUUCACGGGUUGGCAAAUAGCAUUAAGGAUAAAAAACCCGAACUGAUAUAAGGAAGUAUCAGACAGUCGGUAGAACUAGGAGGAAAGCAAAGAUCAAACCGAAAGCGAACAACAAAGGCUAUGCCUUGAAUCUAAUAGCUCCUCAACGGGUAAGUUUGUUUAACUUAAUAUAUAGCCAUGUCAGUAGCUUUAGAAACAUGCAUAUAUCUACCAUAUAUUUCUACAUAUACUAGCUAGCAUGCAUAUGAGACCAUAAAUCUAUAGAGUAUACAAGCAAAAUAAUUAUAUAAUUUAUAUUGUGUUAUGUAAUAUACAAAGUUUAAGUGAAAGUGAAGUCCGCACUGCGCAUAACAAUUUGAGGCCCAAAUUUUCGAUUUUUUUAAAUAAAAAACACUACUUGACAUUAAUUUAGGCAUAGCGAACCAAAAUGUUGCUAGAUAUUCCGAAGAAGUUAUACAGAUAUAUGAUAUGCCAUACAUGAUCUAAGAUUUUAUACAUCAGCAUGUUAAAAUAAUCAAAGUGGCUAUUCGUACUGGAACAGUACGCCGAGUGUGAUUUGCUAUUCGUACUGCAUUCAGGCCCGGAGCUACGGGGGGGUGUAGGGGGGUGUCACACCCCCCCAGAAAGUUUAUUCUUAGGUUUAGUCGGUAAAAUUGCUAUUUUAGUCGGCAGACAAACAUACUAUUGACACUAUGGACCGAUCCAAUAUAAACUUGACAAAGUUUCAUCCAGAGUGUAAUCGGUACAAGUCCGUGGAUCAGUCGGUUUAGAUUACCUUACACCCCCCCUGUAAAAUAUCCUGAGGACGGCCCUGACUGCAUUCGAAAUGUUUCUUUCAAUUGUCGCAAUAAUAAAGGUUUUUAUCGACUCUUGUAAUCGUACCUUUAUAAAGGGACAGUAAGCGAUUGCAACAAACGUUAUUUUCGUAUCGGAAAUCGAUGUUUGAAUCCUCGGCAUA